CUCAAAUGAAUUGACGGGGGCCCGCACAAGCGGUGGAGCAUGUGGUUUAAUUCGAUGCAACGCGAAGAACCUUACCUGGUCUUGACAUCCACAGAACUUUCCAGAGAUGGAUUGGUGCCUUCGGGAACUGUGAGACAGGUGCUGCAUGGCUGUCGUCAGCUCGUGUUGUGAAAUGUUGGGUUAAGUCCCGCAACGAGCGCAACCCUUAUCCUUUGUUGCCAGCGGUUAGGCCGGGAACUCAAAGGAGACUGCCAGUGAUAAACUGGAGGAAGGUGGGAUGACGUCAAGUCAUCAUGGCCCUUACGACCAGGGCUACACACGUGCUACAAUGGCAUAUACAAAGAGAAGCAACCUCGCGAGAGCAAGCGGACCUCAUAAAGUAUGUCGUAGUCCGGAUUGGAGUCUGCAACUCGACUCCAUGAAGUCGGAAUCGCUAGUAAUCGUAGAUCAGAAUGCUACGGUGAAUACGUUCCCGGGCCUUGUACACACCGCCCGUCACACCAUGGGAGUGGGUUGCAAA
rnacentral:rRNA from 1 species